GUGGGGAAUUUUGGACAAUGGGGGCAACCCUGAUCCAGCCAUGCCGCGUGCGGGAAGAAGGCCUUCGGGUUGUAAACCGCUUUUGUCAGGGAAGAAAUCCUUUGGGUUAAUACCUCGGAGGGAUGACGGUACCUGAAGAAUAAGCACCGGCUAACUACGUGCCAGCAGCCGCGGUAAUACGUAGGGUGCGAGCGUUAAUCGGAAUUACUGGGCGUAAAGCGUGCGCAGGCGGUUUUGUAAGAUCGAUGUGAAAUCCCCGGGCUCAACCUGGGAACUGCAUUGGUGACUGCAAGGCUGGAGUGCGGCAGAGGGGGAUGGAAUUCCGCGUGUAGCAGUGAAAUGCGUAGAUAUGCGGAGGAACACCGAUGGCGAAGGCAAUCCCCUGGGCCUGCACUGACGCUCAUGCACGAAAGCGUGGGGAGCAAACAGGAUUAGAAACCCUAGAGUCC
rnacentral:rRNA from 1 species